ensembl:lncRNA
UGUUGGUGGAUGUGAUGGGAGCUGAGGACUCUUAGCUGAGUUAACAAGAAUGUAAAGCCAGCCACCAAACGUCCCUGGAGAACAGGAGGUGAAAGCCCAGUGAACCACACAAGGCGAACCCAGCCAGACCCAGCCAGACCAAGCCAGACCCAGCCAGACCAAGCCAGACCCAGCCAAACAGAGCCAGACCAAGCCAGACCAAGCCAAGCCAGACCAAACCAAGCCAGACCCAACCAGACCAAGCAAUGGAAAAAAAUUAAGAGGUCAUACAGUAACUGUUACAGAGGAACACCAACACAGACAUCAGGCAGCUACAGGGGCAGGUAGAGACUAGCCAUCACAUGGCUACAGGGGCAGGUAGAGACCAGCCAUGACAUGGCUACAGGGGCAGGUAGAGACCAGCCAUGACAUGGCUACAGGGGCAGGUAGAGACUAGCCAUCACAUGGCUACAGGGGCAGGUAGAGACUAGCCAUCACAUGGCUACAGGGGCAGGUAGAGACCAGCCAUCACAUGGCUACAGGGGCAGGUAGAGACUAGCCAUCACAUGGCUACAGGGGCAGGUAGAGACUAGCCAUCAGACAGCUACAGGGACAGGUAGAGACUAGACAUCAGACAGCUACAGAGGCAGUUAGAGACUAGCCAUCAGACAGCUACAGGGACAGGUAGAGACUAGACAUUAGACAGCUACAGAGGCAGUUAGAGACUAGCCAUCAGACAGCUACAGAGGCAGUUAGAGACUAGCCAUCAGACAGCUAAAGGGACAGGUAGAGACUAGCCAAUGAGCUCCUCUUUUCCCCAUCAUCAUUCCUUAUCCACUUUUUUAAAAUUCACUUCAACAGUUUUCUCCAUCCCAUUGUUUCCACUCUGCACAGGACUGCACUGAGAUUGCUGAAAUAUUAACAAGAUAAUACAGACUGCAGAAGCAGCCAAUGAAAUUUGACUUCAAUGAAAAGCCCUCCCUUUGAUUAUUGUGUCACUACUUCACUGAUUGGAAUAGAGAAACUCUUUCUUUAACUAACUGCCAUGAUUGCCAUUAAUAUUCUUUUGAGCAGUGAGUCUUUAUGCAGCCUCAAUCACUCAAGUCAUUCACCUCAAUGCAAUUCAGCCAUCUUCCUUCGACGAAGUGCCUCUGCCGUGCUUUCCCUCUCUCUGUAGUUAAAUGUAUCUGUUGUGUUUUUAUUCACUAUUGAAGGCAAGGAUAUCGACCCCCUAUAAAUCAAUACCUAACGCAGUGAAGAAUCCAUGUUGGUGUCUUGGGGCCAUUCUUAUAGUAUUUCAGUCACAAUUACCUAGUUUAGUUUAGUUUAGUUUAUUUGAUCAUUUAAAACAAGAUACACAUACAAAUUACACACUUGAUUAAUACUCAAUGAGGAUAAUCACAAAGAAGUAUACAAUUUACAUCCGUUUUGGUCCUCAUGCCCCAAAGAACACAUUUCCACCAUUUAAUUAGACCAGGAGAGUCGCAUGUACUCUGUAAUGGCUGUGCUAUCAUUGAAAAUAAACAAGUGGGCAUAAAAAUAGAACCAGAGAAUCUACAAAAUAGUUCAUCAGCUCCAGAUCCUUUCCAGUGACGGUUUCAAAGGCAAACAGAUCCAUAUCUGAUUGCUGUGCAGUUCAAUACCUCAUAAGCUUCCUGCAGGUACACAUGACCGAUCAUUACGUAUGUACUCUUCUCAUAUUCUGAGAACCUUGUAUAAUGCGACUUUUUGUACGAUGUGCAUUAUAUAUAUAUCCAGUAUAUAUAUUUUAUUUACAUUUUAUUGAUGUUAACAGAAUCAAGUCCCAUUAUUGUUGCAGAAUUAACCAAUAUUUCAGUACAGUUGCAUUAAAUGGUGAUACCAUUCACACACGUGCUGUAUGUUUGUUUCGGUCAAUGGUCAUUGGCUAGUUGUAAAUGGUAGGUUGAAUGAAUGUCAGAGUGCUGAAUGCAGCUUUUGCCCACAUUAAUAAUUCAAGUGAGGGAAUAGAAUGGCCACAGCUUGUGUUUGUUUUACUGUUUCUUCAUGUUCUUAUUAGGAUGCUGUUGAUCCUAUAUGUUCCUCCUCAGGCUGUGUACUAAAGAUGAACAGAGCAAAGUACAAAGAGAUCCUGUAUUAAAACCUGCUCAAGAACGCUCAGGACCUCAGACUGGGGUGAAGGUUCACCUUCCAACAGGACAAAGACCCUAGGCACACAGCCAAGACAAUGCAGGAGUGGCUUAGGGACAAGUCUGAAUGUCCUUGAGUGGCCCAGCCAGAGCCCAGACUUGAACCCGGUCGAACAUCUCUGAAGAGACCUGGAAAUAGCUGUGCAGCGACGCGCCCCAUCACAGAGCUUGAGAGGUUCUGCAGAGAAAAAUGGGAAAAACUGCCCAAAUACAGGUUUGCCAAGCUUGUAGCGUCAUAUCCAAGAAGACUCUAGGCUUUAAUCGCUGCCAAAUGUCCGUCACCAAAGUACUGAGUGAAGGGUCUGAAUACUUACACUACCGGUCAAAAGUUUUAGAACGCCUACUCAUUCAAGGGUUUUUCUUUAUUUGUACUAUUUUCUACAUUGUAGAAUAAUAGUGACGACAUCAAAACUAUGAAAUAACACAUAUGGAAUCAUGUAGUAACCAAAAAAGUGUUAAACAAAUCAAAAUAUAUUUUAUAUUUGAGAUUCUUCAAAUAGCCACUUUUUGCCAUAAUGACAGCUUUUCUUAAACUUUUGACCACUUUAAAAAUAUAUAUACAUUUGCAAAAAUGUAUAAGAACUUGCUGUUGCUUUGUCAUUAUGGUGUAUUAUGUGUAGAUUGAUGAGGGGGAAAAAUCAAUUUAAUCCAUUUUUGAAUAAGGCUGUAAUGUAACAAAAUGUGGAAAGUCAAGUCAAUUGGUCUGAAUACUUUCCGGAUGUACUGUAUACACACACAUUAAAAUAAAAAACACAGUCACGGGAAGCACAAAUACAACAUCACAAAUCAUUACAUUCCUCUACAAAUAAGUCCCCAAUGUUCUGACCGUAGUUUCUUUUUUUAUGUCUUUGUGUUAGGUUGGUCAGGGCGUGAGUUGGGGUGGGUUGUCUAUGUUCUUUUUUCUAGGUUAUAUUUUCUACGUGUUUGGCCUAGUAUGGUUCUCAAUCAGAGGCAUGUGUCGUUCGUUGUCUCUGAUUGAGAAUCAUGCUUAGGUAGCCUUUUCCCACAUGUGUUUUGGUGGGUGAUUAUUUUUCCAUGUCAGUGUUUGUUCCACACGGGACUGUGUCGGUUUUCAUUUAUUUCUCUUGUUCCUUUUGUUUUCUGUGUCCAGUGAUAUUUCAUUAAAAUACAUUAUGG